CGCAAGCCUGACGGAGCAAGACCGCGUGRGGGAGGAAGGCUCUUGGGUUGUAAACCCCUUUUCUCAAGGAAGAAGUUCUGACGGUACUUGAGGAAUCAGCCUCGGCUAACUCCGUGCCAGCAGCCGCGGUAAUACGGAGGAGGCAAGCGUUAUCCGGAAUGAUUGGGCGUAAAGCGUCCGCAGGUGGCCGUUCAAGUCUGCUGUCAAAUCCAGGGGCUCAACUCCUGACCGGCAGUGGAAACUGAACAGCUAGAGUGCGGUAGGGGCAGAGGGAAUUCCCGGUGUAGCGGUGAAAUGCGUAGAGAUCGGGAAGAACACCGGUG
rnacentral:rRNA from 1 species